UAGUCCUAGCCGUAAACGGUGCAUAUUUGCUGUAAAAGGAUUCGACCCCUUUUGUGGCGUAGCCAACGCGUUAAAUAUGCCGCCUGGGAAGUACGGUCGCAAGAUUAAAACUCAAAGAAAUUGACGGGGGCCUGCACAAGCGGUGGAGUAUGUGGCUUAAUUCGAUGCAACGCGAAGAACCUUACCUGGCCUUGACGUGUAUCUAGUACGACCGUGAAAGCGGGAGGAGGUAGCAAUACCAGGAUACACAGGUGCUGCAUGGCUGUCGUCAGCUCGUGUCGUGAGAUGUUGGGUUAAGUCCCGCAACGAGCGCAACCCUUGUGUCCUGUUACCACUCCUACGAGAGUAGGAAGCACUCUGGACAGACUGCCCCGUNUAAACGGGGNGAAGGUGGGGAUGACGUCAAGUCAGUAUGGGCCCUUACGGGCCAGGGG
rnacentral:rRNA from 1 species